rnacentral:rRNA from 1 species
GACAGAGGGUGCAAACGUUGUUCGGAAUUACUGGGCGUAAAGCGUGCGUAGACGGUUGCGUAAGUCAGAUGUGAAAGCCCCGGGCUCAACCUGGGAAUUGCAUUUGAGACUGCGUAGCUAGGGUGCGGAAGAGGGAAGCGGAAUUUCCGGUGUAGCGGUGAAAUGCGUAGAGAUGUGGAGGAACACCAGUGGCGAAGGCGGCUUCUGGUCUGUAACUGACGCUGAGGCGCGAAAGCGUGGGGAGCAAACAGG